GCCGGGGCUUCUUCUCCCACUACCGUCAUCAUCGUCGUGGGUGAAAGCGCUUUACAACCCUAAGGCCUUCUUCACGCACGCGGCAUUGCUGGAUCAGGGUUGCCCCCAUUGUCCAAUAUUCCCC
rnacentral:rRNA from 1 species